UAAUUUAGUGUUAUAACGAACUCGUAGUGCCAAUCUUCAUGUUUUAUCUUAAAAAACUUUCAAAAUCACCAAGAACAUGAAAUUACAUGUUUUUAUUCUGGAAAUUGUAUGUUUUAACUUGUUAAAAUCAUGCUAGGAAGGUUGAGUAAUGAUUAUGUGUGUAAAAUAAUGUCUGGGUAUGUCUAAUUUCAUGUAUGGAUAAAGAAAUUAGUAGAAAUUGGCAUGUUCUACAUUUUUCG
rnacentral:lncRNA from 1 species